GAAACUACUGAAGAAUGUCUGAUUCAGCAUCAACAAGACAAGACGAAAGUACGUAUUGAAACAAAGGGGUGGACUGAAGCAGAAUUCAAACUAGAAUAUCAUCGAAAAGUUGUGUUAUCAUCCGGACACGGGUGUGGAAAAACUUUUCUUGCAAAGGAACUAUUACUGAAAUGUGCCAAAAAAGAAGAACUGUUUAAACUAAAUCCUAUGAUCUUAAGAUUUCCGAGUGAAUGGAAGAUGUCAGUUAGUCCUAAAGAUAGUGUAAUAAUCUUGUUAGAUGAUAUAUUUGGAAAAUAUACAGUCGAUCAAGAAAAACUUGAACAAUGGGGAACUUUGUUUCCAGAUAUACAUACGUGCAUAAAUAGUAACAGCUCCUCUGUUCAUGUCAUAAUCACCAUAAGGGACAAUAUUUUAAGACAGAUAAAGAAUGUUCUAAGUUGCUAUGAUCUUUUCAAAAACAUAGAUAAGUUGGUGGUUAACUUAAC
rnacentral:lncRNA from 1 species